rnacentral:rRNA from 1 species
UACAGAGGUCUCAAGCGUUGUUCGGAAUUACUGGGCGUAAAGGGUGCGCAGGCCGCGCGGGCAGUCAAAUGUGUAAUCCAGGGGCUCAACCCCUGAACUGCGCUUGAUACUUCCGCGCUCGAGCUUUGGAGAGGAGUCUGGAAUUCUCGGUGUAGCAGUGAAAUGCGUGGAUAUCGAGAAGAACACUUAGGGCGUAGGCAAGACUCUGGACAAAUGCUGACGCUCAUGCACGAAGGCUAGG